UGCAGUCGAACGAACUCUGGUAUUGAUUGGUGCUUGCAUCAUGAUUUACAUUUGAGUGAGUGGCGAACUGGUGAGUAACACGUGGGAAACCUGCCCAGAAGCGGGGGAUAACACCUGGAAACAGAUGCUAAUACCGCAUAACAACUUGGACCGCAUGGUCCGAGCUUGAAAGAUGGCUUCGGCUAUCACUUUUGGAUGGUCCCGCGGCGUAUUAGCUAGAUGGUGGGGUAACGGCUCACCAUGGCAAUGAUACGUAGCCGACCUGAGAGGGUAAUCGGCCACAUUGGGACUGAGACACGGCCCAAACUCCUACGGGAGGCAGCAGUAGGGAAUCUUCCACAAUGGACGAAAGUCUGAUGGAGCAACGCCGCGUGAGUGAAGAAGGGUUUCGGCUCGUAAAACUCUGUUGUUAAAGAAGAACAUAUCUGAGAGUAACUGUUCAGGUAUUGACGGUAUUUAACCAGAAAGCCACGGCUAACUACGUGCCAGCAGCCGCGGUAAUACGUAGGUGGCAAGCGUUGUCCGGAUUUAUUGGGCGUAAAGCGAGCGCAGGCGGUUUUUUAAGUCUGAUGUGAAAGCCUUCGGCUCAACCGAAGAAGUGCAUCGGAAACUGGGAAACUUGA
rnacentral:rRNA from 2 species